rnacentral:rRNA from 1 species
UAAGGAAUAUUGGUCAAUGGACGCAAGUCUGAACCAGCCAUGCCGCGUGAAGGAUGAAGGUCCUCUGGAUUGUAAACUUCUUUUAUCUGGGACGAAAACGGGAUUUUUAUCUCAAUUGACGGUACCAGAGGAAUAAGCACCGGCUAACUCCGUGCCAGCAGCCGCGGUAAUACGGAGGGUGCGAGCGUUAUCCGGAUUUACUGGGUUUAAAGGGUGCGUAGGUGGGCUUAUAAGUCAGUGGUGAAAUCUCCGAGCUUAACUUGGAAACUGCCGUUGAUACUAUAUGUCUUGAAUUAUCUGGAGGUAAGCGGAAUAUGUCAUGUAGCGGUGAAAUGCUUAGAUAUGACAUAGAACACCAAUUGCGAAGGCAGCUUACUACAUAUAAAUUGACGCUGAGGCACGAAAGCGUGGGGAUCAAAC